rnacentral:tRNA from 1 species
GCCGGAGUAGCCAACUUGGUGACGGCGCGUGUCUGAAAAACACGAGAUCGCAGUUCGAUUCUGCGCUCCGGCA